rnacentral:rRNA from 1 species
CAAUAGCGUAUAUUAAAGUUGUUGUGGUAAAAAAGCUCGUAGUUGGAUUUCUGUUGAGAGCGACCGGUCCAUACCAUGUAUGCGUAUCUGGCUUGCUCUCGGCAUCCUCUCGAUAGACGUUACUGCGCUUGAUUGCGUGGUGCGGAUCUCGGGACUUUUACUUUGAGGAAAUUAGAGUGUUCACGGCAGGCUUUCGCCAGAAUACAUUAGCAUGGAAUAAUACUAUAGGAUCUUGGUUCUAUUUUGUUGGUUUCUAGAAUUGAGAUAAUGAUUAAUAGGGACAAUUGGGGGCAUUCGUAUCAACACGUCAGAGGUGGAAUUCUUGGAUUGUGUUGCGACGAACUACUGCGAAAGCAUUUGCCAAGGAUGUUUUCAUUGA